rnacentral:piRNA from 1 species
UUGGAAUCUGGGUGGGUAAAGAGCUCUU